UUACGGCCGUACCAUGCUGAAUAUACCGGUUCUCGUUAGAUCACCGAAGUUAAGCAUCAUUGGGCGCGGUCAGUACUUGGGUGGGUGACCACCUGGGAACACUGCGUGCCGUU
rnacentral:rRNA from 1 species